CGCCCGGCCGCGCCUGCGCACAUCUGCCGCCCGGCCGCGCGUGGCGACCCCGCCACUUUCUCUUUUGCGCCGUGCUCGUCUUCUCCGCGCUCGUGAGCCUGACCCUAGCGGCGUCCCCAGGCUUGAUCAGAAAGAAGAGCUCAGAGGAGUGAGGCAACACCAACACCAGGGCGUACGAUACAUCCGAGGCUCCCCCGACACAAGUUCCAGCCCGGAAGGGCUUGGAAUGGCCUGCCACGCCGGGGCAAUGGAGCGCGUGAAAGCCAAACCUUGGGACCCUUAGAGUAAUUUGACUGCGAAGGCACCGUCGUCGUCGUCGGGCACCCCCUGUAGACGGGCGCAUAAUAGAUACAUCUCUGGAGAUAGUGAUGGAAACUGGGGUCCGAUAGAUGGAGAGAAGGACGUAGGAUAAGACUUCUUGUGGGGUGAGGAGGCAGAGGGCACCUGGAGAGAGGUGUGGCAUGGAGAACCAGGGGUUUUCCCUAGCAGAGGGCGGCUUCGUGGACUUCGGCCAACCGGCGGGUGCUUCCCUCGAGCGGCCGCUAGAUGGUGGUGCUGUUCUGGAUGCUUCCAGUAGGCCCCGACCAGGUCUGGACAAUGCCUGGCACCCGUCCCCCGCCCCUCAUCUACACACACGCAAGAAUUCGGAGCUCCAUGGGGGACAGAAGCAAGAUAUCCGUAAAAUCAAAGUCUAGGGGGUAGGAAUGAAAAGGGAAAAGUGAGGAACGGGGAGCCAAACCCAGGAAGACGCCUCUGUUCCUGCACAUUCCCUCUCCUUUGUAUACUCAGCUCUUGGCUGUCUCCAGUAUGUACCCACCCUGGUCUUCCAAGCUGGGAGCCACUUUUAAUAACACAAUCACAGUUUCACAAACCCCAGGAAGGUUCCAUGUGGAGAGAGGUUAAGUUUCGCCCUUGCCCGGGGAAUUAUGACACUCAGAAUAUCCCCUUGGUGUAAAUGGAAGACACCUGAGAAAAGAGAGAAAGUAGAUUGGCAGUGAAGCACAGCCAUCCAGAUGCCAUUUCCCCUGCCUUCUCCAGCUCCACCGUUCCUCUGCCUCCUGUAAGAACCCGGCAUUCUGCACUUCACUCCUCAGACCCGCCUCUGUUUAGGUUUCCAACCUCCCUCUUAGCGGUAGCUCCCUGCACUGCUACCCCAGGUCAGAGAUGUCCUGCUUUCGGUUGCCCACACGGCUCUCACCUGCGCUAUAGCAGCUGUUGUAGGCCCGGUCCGGGUGGGAGGGCAUACUUCUUAUACAUCGGAAUAGAGUCUCCUGCCUUCCUUGGCCUUCUCGAGACACCACCUGACCCAUGGUGAAAGUCACGUCUUGAAACAGGACCUGGCAGGGAAGGGAGAUGUUGAAGAAAACAGGAUGGCCUGGCUCAGUUCUGGGAGGCCCCAGGAGCGCUAACAAGGGAAGAAAGAAGGGUCUGCUAGGUUUGGUAUGAAUAGAGGGGUCAGGAACGCUCAGUAACGGGCCAAAGAGGCCCUCUGUGAAGCUCAGAGUGUCGCUGGGGUUACCUGGCUAUACAGCAGAUAAACUCCAGCAUCCCGGAUUCGGACACCAUAUCCUUGGGCCUGUAGGCCUCUCCCACGCCUAAGAGCUGGUUGCCACAUCACCUCUGUCACAUCGGAGUCAUCUGGAGGUGAGAAGUGUGUCGCUCAGGACUUCUUGGCACUCUCAGAUGCUUUUUGGUUCUUCCCCUUUCACUUAUAAGGACCCCUUGAGCCCAAGUGCCAGCCCCAGAGUUCCUGGUUAUUGCACCUCCCCAAAGCCAUUAUUUAAAAUAGUGCUCACCCUUGGAGGUGGCGUUAAUGGGAACCAGGUGCAGGAUGGAGUGCUGCUCUGAGGAGAGAAAGAGGGAAUCUCAGCCACGUCCACUUUCCCCCAUUGUGCUGUUGGCAGCCUCCACCCUCACCCUGACUCGGGCUUACAAUCCCCAUGCUGCUUGAUCACCUCCCACCCCUGCUGCACCCUGGAAGCCUCACUCUUCUGUUUUUGGGUGAGCACUGCUCUCCUUUUCCGGGAUCUCUCCCCAUUCUCCCAGGCUUCCAGGGCAUCGGAGCUCUGCUCAUGGAAAGAGGGUCAAGGUUAGGUUAAGAUGCAAGGGUCCCAGCCAGCCUUCCUUCCCAGCCCUCCCCUGCCCCCGAAAUGCCUCAAAUCUCUCAUGCACCUUUUCCCAGCUCCCUGAGUGUUGGUGCUGGCUGCCCUCCAGAAUUUGUUAGGUAUGAGAAGCAUUAACCUUUAACAAUUUCCUUUCCUGGAAUGGCCGCGCCCCUGCGCCCCUGACUUCCAAACCGGAGACCCUCUCUUGCACCCCCUUGAAACUUUGCAGACCAGGAGGCCCAGCGACCCCGCAUGCCAACCAUCCUCUCCCAGACACCCUCCUCCCCUCACUCACCUGCUUCGGGAGACUCUGCCAGGGAUACCCUUCCCCCUUCUGGGAGGGCCCUCCUGUCCUCUGCAGCCGGCUCACCUCUCUCCUGAGGCUCUGCAGCUCUGUUUGUUGGGUCAGCAGAGCCAUGGCACAAGCCACAGCCCCCAGAGCUGCCCCCCAACUCAGCCACAGGGCAACUGAGAGUGCUGGCUCUCUGACCGGGCCCCCCAUGUUGCCUGGAGGCCCUUUGGGGGCUAGCGAGAAAGGAGAUGAGGCUGGCAUGAGCUGGGGACCCUGCCAACAGCUGUGGUUUCAAGAGUGGGGUAGCAAGGAGGUGGCAGGGCGGGUAGGGGUACGGGCAGUGGGGCAGAAGGGAAGAAGGUUGUUACGCAAGGACAAAUAAAAAGGAACUUGAGAAUAAAAAGGAGGGAGGAGGAAAGCAAGCUAAGGGUACUGUUAAUGUUCCUGGCAGUCCAUUGUGGGGCCAGUGUUACCUUGAGACCCUCCACCCUCCCUCAGCCUCAGGAGAAUUAGGUUCCAGUCCCUCUAGGAAGGACAGGGCUGCCAGUGACACCCAGGAGGAACAGCCAGUGCGCAGGAACCCUGGGGCGGCCCCAGGGUUGGGGGAGGGAAGGUUGGCUGGCUAGAGGGCAUGGUGCCAGGAGCAGGAUGGGGGGCCAAGCUGGGCAGUGUCCAGGGUCAGGGCGAGGGUGGAAGACCCUCUGGCUCAGGCACAGCAGAGAUCGCUGGGGCAGUUCACUAGGGGUGACUGAAGGUGGGAAAGGAGGGGUGGGCUCGGUGGGGAGGAGAACCAGGGGCACGGAAGCAAGAAACUGGCUGAGUUCUGGGGUUAAGGCUGGGCCGGGUGUGUUGGAAUAAGGCCUGCACUACUCCCUGUGCUGAACUUGGCAAGCAGGACUUCCUGUUUCCCGAGAAAAGCUCUUACAUAAGGCUCUGGACGAAGAGACAAAGCAGCAGCCUCAAGCCCCCCGGCCACUGCAGGAUUCCUCCCCGGCACACAGGAUUCCGGGUUCCCGUGUGCCUGCUGACUCUGAGCCCCUCCUCCAGGCUGGCUCCUGCCUACCCCACCUCCCAGCCAGGGCCUGUGCCAGCACCUGCUGAAUGUCCUGAGGCCACCAAGAGGAAGGGCCCCUGCUCCUCCCAGCCAGGGAGGGAUUCCCCCGCAGGAGGAAGUCCGUCCGCCUCCUAGGGAAAGGAGGCCGCUCCUGCUGUACCUUGGGCAGAGAAUUGAUUUUCUCCUGGGCAGUGUCCCUUUCUACCUCUGCUCCCACCUGGGGGUUGGAGGCAUGGAGGUCCCCGCCCCCAAGCCUGAACACCAUCCUGGAAUUCCAGCUGUGCCGCUCCGCAACGCCCCGCUUCCCGUGGCCCCCGGCUACCCUGGGAGUGUCCCCUGAGCCCCAAUAAAGAGAGAGACUAUGACUUAUUCUA